rnacentral:rRNA from 1 species
GGACGAACGCUGGCGGCGUGCUUAACCCGUGCAAGUCGAACGCUGAAGCUCAGCUUUUGUUGGGUGGAUGAGUGGCGAACGGGUGAGUAACACGUGAGUAACCUGCCUCCUUCUUUGGGAUAACGCCCGGAAACGGGUGCUAAUACUGGAUAUUCACUGGUCUUCGCAUGGGGGUUGGUGGAAAGGGUUUUUCUGGUGGGGGAUGGGCUCGCGGCCUAUCAGCUUGUUGGUGGGGUGAUGGCCUACCAAGGCUUUGACGGGUAGCCGGCCUGAGAGGGUGACCGGUCACAUUGGGACUGAGAUACGGCCCAGACUCCUACGGGAGGCAGCAGUGGGGAAUAUUGCACAAUGGGCGCAAGCCUGAUGCAGCGACGCCGCGUGAGGGAUGGAGGCCUUCGGGUUGUGAACCUCUUUCGCUCGUGGUCAAGCCGCAACAAUGGUUGUGGUGAGGGUAGUGGGUAAAGAAGCGCCGGCUAACUACGUG